AAUUUUAACGAUUUUAGAAAAAUGUCAAUCUUUCCGUCACGUUUUCAUCUUUACCCUAUUUUGUAGUCGUAUCUUUAUUUUUUUAUUUACUUAUUUUCUCUAUCUUGGAACAGAUUAAACAAUAUGUUAUUUAUUAUACGAUAGAAAAGUGUAGUUUUUGCUCUAUACUAUGCAAAGCCAUAAAUUAGUACAGGUUAAUAUUUAUUGUUCUACAAGAGGUUCAAACACAACUCUGCUCAUCUCUUUAAAAACCGUUCAAGCUUCCCCCCACUCACCUUACAUGGGAUUUUGGGUCUAAGAAAUAUUAGUUUCCGCAUAGUUUUAUUCACUGCACUAAAUCGACUACUGACGAUGAAAAAAGUAAGCCAACCAUCAGUGGAAAUUGUCACGUAUGAGGUGGAGGAUGACCAGUCUCAAUGCUUACCAUUCAGUCAAUUAUAAAAGCGUAACAGAAUUAUUGUUAAGAAGAAAAAUCAAGCAGAGUAAUGUAUUUUAAAUACAGUGGGACAAGUAUAAUUA